rnacentral:rRNA from 1 species
AGAGGGUGCAAACGUUGUUCGGAAUUACUGGGCGUAAAGCGCGUGUAGGCGGCCAUCUAAGUCGAACGUGAAAUCCCCGGGCUCAACCCGGGAACUGCGUCCGAUACUGGAAGGCUUGAAUCCGGGAGAGGGAUGCGGAAUUCCGGGUGUAGCGGUGGAAUGCGUAGAGAUCCGGAAGAACACCGGUGGCGAAGGCGGUCUGCUGGGGUAAUGCUGACACUGAUGCGCGACAGCGUGGGGAGCAAACAGG